CCUGUUCAAUCAUGAAUUUCGAAAUUACAAUUUCUGAACUUUCAUAUAGAUUGCAAUAGUUUUUCUCCUUGUCUUUUGUCUUUUCUGGGUUAACCAAUGUGCUGGCGAUGUUCGUAUUUGGGCGUUUAGGAUUUGAAGGGUGUAUCCCGGACUGUUGAAAGUUUGUUGAAUGAUAGUACCGCUAAUUAAGAGAAAACCUUGCAACGUGGGGCUGGAACUGUGGCGACAUUUAUCACAAUGGAGAAUACAUAAGAGUGGACUUCGAGGGUUUUACAUUUACCCUGUCAAUAGCUGUUCAAAUGAUGGGAGCGAUU